GCGAGAGGAGGGGACGCGGCCCCUGGCACAGGCCCUGCCGGGACAGACGCUGUCCUCUCCACACCAGAGCCCAGCCAGCUGCCGGGAAGGAGCGUUAAAGAACACGGAGUGCAGAGGGCAGGGGAUGUGCUGGGCUCCCCUCCCAGGCUGAAGUUGUCCAUCCAGCCAAACAGGUCAUGAUGCAGGUCUCAGUGACACCCAGCCAUACAGCAUGGAGGACUCUAGCUUCCUCUCCCCCAUCAGCUCCCAAGGCCCAUCUGGAGGAAUCAUGAGGGGCGUUCUCACAUCCUGCUCCCUGAAGAAGCCGGUCCUGCUCGCUGAGCGCUCACCAACGUCACGCCAAGGGAUGACGCAAGCCAUGACUGCUGUCCAGGUCCAAAGGUACAUCAGCACAGUGACUCUGCUCAGUGUUACAUCACAUUGCUGAAGUGAGCACCAGGAAUUACACAAACAUAAGGAGACCUUGGACUCCCUUCAGGUUUUCACCCAACUUCUUCAAACUCCUACUGCUUGCACUGAAGGUCUGUGGAGAUGAAGGACAUAAUCACAGAAUCUGUUGAGCUGGAAGGGACCCACAAGGAUUGUCAAGUCCAGCUCCUGGCCCUGCACAGAACCAUCCCCAAGAGUCACACCAUGAGAACGGACAAGUCUUUCCUUAUCCCUAGGUUUGGGCAUAUGGGUAACAAUAAAGUACCUAAAUUUUGUUCUGUCUGUUAUCCAGAAGUGCUGUGUGUUUCAUUGAGCAGUAAUGGAAGCACGCAAACACACAGCCCACACAGGGAAAAACUGGCCUGGAAAAGUGGCAGGAGGGGAAGAACUUGAUGGUUUUAAUUCAAUUUGUGU